rnacentral:lncRNA from 1 species
UUUUAUAGCAUAAAAGUUGCCUUUAAAAGCACUGUUCAUUGACAUGCCGGUACCAAACUGCUGUCCAAAUUUUAUGUACACCGAGUGCUUUAUUGAGCAACUGCCAGAGGUGGCAUGUGACUACAUGAACUGUCUGAGGAUUUGACAAGCAUGGGAAGUGAUCCUCCAGUGGCCAUUGUGGGUGAGUGAGAGCUGCAGUAAAUCACCAGAGCAGCAAGCAGAAGAAAGACUAGCCGUGGCGUAGGAACUGUCCAUGUUUCCAACGCAUUUCACCCGACCGGGCUGCAGGAGGACUCCGGCUGCCAAUCUCUCUCAACCCCACUGCUCAUAUGGACAGUCUUGCACUCAGAGGGUCCAUUAUGCAAUAAAUCCUGCCGACAGCAGAGCUCAUCCAUGGUGUGGUCCUCCUCCAUGCCCCUGGUCCCCUCCGCCCACUGCAAAUGGUUAUUACUGA